AGAGGGGCAUGCGCUUCUGUGUUUAUAUUCUGCAGAAGUGCAUGCUAAUUUUGCAUGGAAGAAAAUAAACAAUAAAAACUGUCUAAAAGAGAGUUGUUGAGAGAAUUUCUCAACCAGAAAUUAACAGCGGCUGCUGAGGAGAUAUUUGGGGUCGUUGAAAAAACGAUAGCAGAGUACCAGGUAGACAUGUUCCGUACGAAAGAGGAGAACGAACGUCUUCGUGGGCUUUUGAUGUUGUACAAAGGAGAUAUGUAGCUUCAUACAGUCAAUUGUUUGUAGCGUCUAACCACAUACAAAAUGGGAGGGGUAGCUACACGGGUGUCUAUCUAAUAACGUUAGCAAGCUUUCUACCCAGAUCCAAAAUGUUUGUCAAUGGCGAAUCUUCAUUGAAGUGCCGGUUACAAAACCUAAAUUUAUAGUGAAGUCCGGGGAACUGGACUUAGAGCUGAGAUCCUCAAAGUGUGAAGCAGCUCCACUGCAUUUGUUCCGGUUUUGUUUUUGAAAAGGAGGAGGGAGACGAGCAUCCAGUAACGCAACCUGGUAUCAACGUUUCAUAUUAUUCGAGUCAGACUGCCAGCAGCAGGCUGAAGCUACUAUCACUUUGGUGCAGGUUGCCCCUGAGCAGCAGCAGCCAUGUACUCAAGUGUGGCGCCUCCGUCUAAGACAGGAGGACCCAGAGUCUGAUUCCAAAGAAUAUCCAGACCAAGUAUCCACUUCUGAAGAUUUCACAUUCCAAAUGGAGACAGAAGGGUCUGUAAAUGAAGCCAUCAAACUGAAAGCCAUCCUCAACGACAACAGAAUAGAGAAAGUGAUUCUGCCCUCUCAACCUGACUCACUGAAUGAGCUGAUAUCAACGCUCAAGGAGAAACUGCAUCUGAAGUGUGAUUUCAGUCUUCUUUAUGAAGACCCUGAUUUCAACAAUGAGCUCUUCAACUUAGAGACCAUUAAAGACUUGCCUUCUCCUAGGGCUACGGUGAAAGUUUUGCAAAUACGACGUGAUGCAGACCUCGGUUUAGCCGGAGUCUCAGCCACCGAGUUACAGGACGCCCACCAGAGCGGUUAGGCAGGCGACCUGAAGUAUUUGUCAUACCCACUUUAUCGAUGGAGGUUGAGUUUGCUCUGAGAGAGGGCAAUUGUGCAUAUCUGAGACAUGAAACGGUGCUGAAAAUAACAAGGACUCAAAAACACAACAUUCUUGAUCGGAUGGCUUGGACAAUCUUCAAUUCCAAAGCGUACCCAAGUGACAGAGAAACUGGCUGGAGAUGGUCCACGAGAUGAUGAAAGAAAACAGAGACCUGCCACUCAUCAAUCAACACAUGCAGAAGACAUAUGCUCUCCGACGCCAAGAAAUGGUUAAAUCCAGUCCCUCGGUAGAGCAUCUCAGAACAUGCUGGCCAGCACUCUUCCUCGAAGCCCAGGUACAUGCUGAGUUUCAGAGAAUCACCAACCAGAGCCUGCAGCAGACGUUCUACGCUGCCUUAGACCACCACACACCCCGCCUGCUGACCCUGUUCAGGGAGAAGGGGGGGAAGUCCACCACCCAUGGAGGGAAUUCUCAAGCAUCCUGAGAGUGUACAACGAGCAGUUCACUUCACAGGGAGAAAAGAACAUCACCGUGGCCCGUUCUGCAGUCCUGGCUGGUCUCCCUUUGUUGUUAACGAGAGGAUAGUUGUGAUGUCUUAAAUCUGCGAGGUGGGAGAACUCAGCAACCCUGGUAUUCUGGAUGGAGUUUCCAUUCUCUCAGUGGUGGGCCAGCACAAUGAGGUGGUGGGUGGUAUACCCAUCAGACCAGCCCAUGUAUCCAUUGUCCUUGAGGAUAAGAUCGUCAUGACUAACUCCUGCUCCUGGCCAGACGCUCUCAUGGUUGUUUUUGGGCUACUCUACUCCCUCCAUCUGAACUACCCCAAGGCCCUGGGCAGCACCUUUGAGUUCAUGCAGAAAGUCUUCCUGAACCUCGACGAUGGAAAGCUGAAGCCCAAGCUACUAGCACUGAAAAAUGAACUGUUGGCCUAAUUCAGUGACCUCCUAUAUGCCGAGUGAGUGGUUUGAAAACAAUGGUUGUUUUUGUUUGGUUUGCUUUUUAUAUUUUUGUACCUUUUUUGUGAAGGUAAUGGAUUUGAUGUUGUAUUUCAAUUAACUUAUAACCCUUUUAUGUGCAAAGAAGACACAGGUCAGUCAAUACAUUAACUUAUCAAAUCAAGUUUAUUUUAUAUAGCCCUUUGUACAUCAGCUAAUAUCUCGAAGUGCUGUACAGAAACCCAGCCUAAAACCCCAAACAGCAAGCAAUGCAGGUGUAGAAGCACGGUGGCUAUGAAAAACUCCCUAGAAAGGCCAAAACCUAGGAAGAAACCUAGAGAGGAACCAGGCUAUGAGGGGUGGACAGUCCUCUUCUGGCUGUGCCGGGUGGAGAUUAUAACAGAACAUGGCCAAGAUGUUCAAAUGUUCAUAAAUGACCAGCAUGGUCAAAUAAUAAUAAUCACAGUAGUUAUCGAGGGUGUAGCAAGUCACCACCUCAGGAGUAAAUGUCAGUUGGCUUUUCAUAGCCGAUCAUUAAGAGUAUCUCUACCGCUCCUGCUGUCUCUAGAGAGUUGAGAACAGCAGGUCUUGGACAGGUAGCACGUCCGGUGGACAGCUCAGGGUUCCAUAGCCGCAGGCAGAACAGUUGAAACUGGAACAGCAGCAAGGCCAGGUGAACUGGGGACAGCAAGGAGUCAUCAUGCCCGGUAGUCCUGACGCCUGGUCCUAGGGCUCAGGUCCUCCGAGAGAGAGAGAGAGAGAGAGAGAAGGAGAGAAUUAGAGAGAGCAUACUUAAAUUCACACAGGACACUGGAUGAGACAGGAGAAGUACUCCAGAUAUAACCAACUGACCCUAGCCCCCCCCCCCCCCGACACACAAACUACUGCAGCAUAAAUACUGGAGGCGGAGACAGGAGGGGUCAGGAGACACUGUGGCCCCAUCCGAUGAUACCCCCGGACAGGGCCAAACAGGAAGGAUAUAACCCCACCCACUUUGCCAAAGCACAGCCCCCGCACCACUAGAGGGAUAUCUUCAACCGCCAACUUACAAUCCUGAGACAAGGCGGAGUAUAGCCCACAAAGAUCUCCGCCACGGCACAAUCCAAGGGGGGGGGGCGCCAACCCAGACAGGAAGACCACGUCAGCGACUCAACCCACUCAAGUGACGCACCCCUCCUAGGGACGGCAUGGAAGAGCACAAGUAAGCCAGUGACUCAGCCCCUGUAAUAGGGUUAGAGGCAGAGAAUCCCAGUGGGGAGAGGGGAACCGGCCAGGCAGAGACAGCAAGGGCGGUUCGUUGCUCCAGAGCCUUUCCGUUCACCUUCACACUCCUGGGCCAGACUACACUCAAUCAUAUGACCUACUGAAGAGAUAAGUCUUCAGUAAAGACUUAAAGGUUGAGACCGAGUCUGCGUCUCUCACAUGGGUAGGCAGCCCAUUCCAUAAAAAUGGAGAUCUAUAGGAGAAAGCCCUGCCUCCAGCUGUUUGCUUAGAAAUUCUAGGGACAAUUAGGAGGCCUGCGUUUUGUGACCGUAGCGUACGUGUAGGUAUGUACGGCAGGACCAACUCGGAAAGAUUGGUAGGAGCAAGCCCAUGUAACGCUUUAUAUGUUAACAGUAAAACCUUGAAAUCAGCCCUUCUGAUUUUUGCAAUGUUACUUAGAUGGAAAAAAGCUGUCCUUGAAACAGUCUUGAUAUGUUAGUCAAAAGAGAGAUCAGGGUCCAGAGUUACGCCGAGGUCCUUCACAGUUUUAUUUGAGACGACUUUACAACCAUCAAGAUUAAUUGUCAAAUUUAACAGAAGAUCUCUUUGUUUCUUGGGACCUAGAACAAGCAUCUCUGUUUUGUCCGAGUUUAAAAGUAGAAAGUUUUCAGCCAUCCACUUCCUUAUGUCUGAAACACAGGCUUCUAGCGAGGGCAAUUUUGGGGCUUCACCAUGUUUCAUUGAAAUGUACAGCUGUGUGUCAUCCGCAUAGCAGUGGAAGUUAACAUUAUGUUUUCGAAUGACAUCCCCAAGAGGUAAAAUAUAUAGUGAAAACAAUAGUGGUCCUAAAACGGAACCUUGAGGAACACCGAAAUGUACAGUUGAUUUGUCAGAGGACAAACCAUUCACAAACCAUUCACUGAUAUCUUUCCGACAGAUAAGAUCUAAACCAGGCCAGAACUUGUCCGUGUAGACCAAUUUGGGUUUCCAGUCUCUCCAAAAGAAUGUGGUGAUCGAUGGUAUCAAAGGCAGCACUAAGGUCUAGUAGCACGAGGACAGAUGCAGAGCCUCGGUCUGACGCCAUUAAAGGUCAUUUACCACCUUCACAAGUGCAGUCUCAGUGCUAUGAUGGGGUCUAAAACCAGACUGAAGCAUUUCGUAUACAUUGUUUGUCUUCAGGAAGGCAGUGAGUUGCUGCGCAACAGCUUUUUCAAAAAAUUUGAGAGGAAUGGAAGAUUCGAUAUAGGCCGAUAGUUUUUUAUAUUUUCUGGGUCAAGGUUUGGCUUUUUCAAGAGAGGCUUUAUUACUGCCACUUUUAGUGAGUUUGGUACACAUCCGGUGGAUAGAGAGCCGUUUAUUAUGUUCAACAUAGGAGAGCCAAGCACAUGAAGCAGCUCUUUCAGUAGUUUAGUUGGAAUAGGAUCCAGUAUGCAGCUUGAAGGUUUAGAGGCCAUGAUUGUUUUCAUCAUUGUGUCAAGAGAUUUAGUACUAAAACACUUGAGUGUCUCUCUUGAUCCUAGGUCCUGGCAGAGUUGUGCAGACUCAGGACAGCUAAGCUUUGGAGGAAUACGCAGAUUUAAAGAGGAGUCUGUAAUUUGCUUUCUAAUGAUCAUGAUCUUUUCCUCAAAGAAGUUCAUGAAUGUAUUACUGCUGAAGUGAAAGCCAUCCUCACUUGGGGAAUGCUGCUUUUUAGUUAGCUUUGCAACAGUAUCAAAAAUAAAUUUUGGAUUGUUCUUAUUUUCCUCAAUUAAGUUGGAAAAGUAGGAUGAUCGAGCAGCAGUGAGGGCUCUUCGGUACUGCACGGUACUGUCUUUCCAAGCUAGUCGGAAGACUUCCAGUUUGGUGUGGCGCCAUUUCCGUUCCAAUUUUCUGGAAGCUUGCUUCAGAGCUCGGGUAUUUUCUGUAUACCAGGGAGCUAGUUUCUUAUGACAAAUGUUUUUAGGGGUGCAACUGCAUCUAGGGUAUUGCGCAAGGUUAAAUUGAGUUCCUCAGUUAGGUGGUUAACUGAUUUUUGUCCUCUGACGUCCUUGGGUAGGCAGAAGGAGUCUGGAAGGACAUCAAGGAAUCUUUGUGUUGUCUGAGAAUUUAUAGCACGACUUUUGAUGCUCCUUGGUUGGGGUCUGAGCAAAUUAUUUGUUGCGAUUGCAAACGUAAUAAAAUGGUGGUCCAAUAAUCCAGGAUUAUAAAAUGGUGGUCCAAUAGUCCAGGAUUAUGUGGAAAAACAUUAAGAUCUACAACAUUUAUUCCAUGGGACAAUACUAGGUCCAGAGUAUGACUGUGGCAGUGAGUAGGUCCAGAGACAUGUUGGACAAAACCCACUGAGUCGAUGAUGGCUCCAAAAGCCUUUUGGAGUGGGUCUGUGGACUUUUCCAUAUGAAUGUUAAAAUCACCAAAAAUUUGAAUAUAAUCCGAUAGGAAUUCAGGGAACUCAGUGAGGAACGCUGUAUAUGGCCCAGGAGGCCUGUAAACAGUAGCUAUAAAAAGUGAUUGAGUAGGCUGCAUAGAUUUUAUGACUAGAAGCUCAAAAGACGAAAACGUCAUUUUUUUUUUUGUAAAUUGAAAUUUGCUAUCGUAAAUGUUAGCAACACCUCCACCUUUGCGGGAUGCACGGGGGAUAUGGUCACUAGUGUAACACAGUAAAUUCAUCAGGCUUCAGCCAUGUUUCAGUCAGGCCAAUCACAUCAAGAUUAUGAUCAGUGAUUAGUUCAUUGACUAUAACUGCCUUUGAGGUGAGGGAUCUAACAUUAAGUAGCCCUAUUUUGAGAUGUGAGGUAUCACGAUCUCUUUCAAUAAUGGCAGGAAUGGAGGUCUUUAUCCUAGUGAGAUUGCUAAGGCGAACACCGCCAUGUUUAGUUUUGCCCAACCUAGGUCAAGGCACAGACACAGUCUCAAUGGGGAUAGCUGAGCUGACUACACUGACUAUGCUAUUGGCAGACUCCACUAAGUUGGCAGGCUGGCUAACAGCCUGCUGCCUGGCCUGCACCCUAUUUCAUUGUGGAGCUAGAGUUAGAGCCCUGUCUAUGUUGGUAGAUAAGAUGAGAGCACCCCUCCAGCUAGGAUGGAGUCCGUCACUCCUCAGCAGGUCAGGCUUGGUCCUGUUUGUGGGUGAGUCCCAGAAAGAGGGCCAAUUAUCUACAAAUUCUAUCUUUUGGGAGGGGCAGAAAACAGCUUUCAACCAGCGAUUGAGUUGUGAGACUCUGCUGUAGAGCUCAUCACUCCCCCUAACUGGGAGGGGGCCAGAGACAAUUACUCGAUGCCGACACAUCUUUCUAGCUGAUUUACACGCUGAAGCUAUGUUGCGCUUGGUGACCUCUGACUGUUUCAUCCUAACAUCGUUGGUGCCGACGUGGAUAACAAUAUCUCUAUACUCUCUACACUCGCCAGUUUUAGCUUUAGCCAGCACCAUCUUCAGAUUAGCCUUAACGUCGGUAGCCCUGCCCCCUGGUAAACAGUGUAUGAUCGCUGGGUAAUUCGUUUUAAGUCUAAUACUGCCGGUAAUGGAGUCGCCAAUGAGUAGGGUUUUCAAUUUGUCAGAGCUAAUGGUGGGAAGCUUCGGCGUCUCUGAGUAGAGGCAAGAGAAGACUCGACCUCAGACUCCGACUCGCUACUUAAUGGGGAAAACCGGUUGAAAGUUUCUGUCGGCUGAAUGAGCGACACCAGUUGAGCAUUCCAACAGCAUUUCCCUCCAGAAGCCAUGAGAAAGUUGUCCGGCUGCGGGGACUGAGCGGGGGGAUUUAUACUACUAUCUGUACUUACUGGUGGCACAGACGCUGUUUCAUCCUUUCCUACACUGAAAUUACCCUUGCCUAACGAUUGCGUCGGAAGCUGGGCUUGCAGCACAGCUAUCCUCGCCAUAAGGCGAUCGUUCUUCUGUAUAUUAUGAGUACAGCGACUGCAAUUAGAAGGCAUCAUGUUAAUGUUACUACUUAGCUUCGGCUGUUGAAGCGUCCGGAUUGAAAAAGUUGAAUGAGGGAAAAAAAGUUGUGAAGGAAAAACUAAAAAUAUAAACGGUAAGUAAAAAGUAAAAAACGUAAAGUUGUCAGCUAGCAAAGUAAGGUUGGCAACAAAACGCACAGCAACACGUCUUAACCCUUUUAUGUGCAAAGAAUACACAGGUCAGUCAACACAUUAACUUAUAACCCUUUUAUGUGCAAAGAAUACACAGGUCAGUCAACACAUUAACUUAUAACCCUUUUAUGUGCAAAGAAUACACAGGUCAGUCAACACAUUAACUUAUAACCCUUUUAUGUGCAAAGAAUACACAGGUCAGUCAACACAUUAACUUAUAACCCUUUUGUGUGCAAAGAAGACACAGGUCAGUCAACACAUUAACUUAUAACCCUUUUAUGUGCAAAGAAGACACAGGUCAGUCAACACAUUAACUUAUAACCCUUUUAUGUGCAAAGAAGACACAGGUCAGUCAACACAUUAACUUAUAACCCUUUUAUGUGCAAAGAAGACACAGGUCAGUCAACACAUUAACCCUUUUAUGUGCAAAGAAGACACAGGUCAGUCAACACAUUAACUUAUAACCCUUUUAUGUGCAAAGAAGACACAGGUCAGUCAACACAUUAACCCUUUUAUGUGCAAAGAAGACACAGGUCAGUCAACACAUUAACUUGCCACAUACAGUAGAUCUACGACACAGUUCUUUGUUAUACAGCUGCAAAACCCCAAAAUGUAUUCUAGAAGAUUUCACCUUUGCAGACAUUCCGACGGGCACAAAAUAAAUGUUGAUAAAAUGUUUAUUAAAAUGUCUACCUGCUAUUGUC